rnacentral:ncRNA from 2 species
GAGUGUGUAGGAGAAAGUGAUUUUUCGGUGGAAACAUGGAAACACUUGAUUAAUCAUUUUGAAA